rnacentral:rRNA from 1 species
UAAUACGGAGGGUGCGAGCGUUAAUCGGAAUUACUGGGCGUAAAGCGUACGUAGGCGGCUUAUUAAGCAAGAUGUGAAAGCCCCGGGCUCAACCUGGGAAUGGCAUUUUGAACUGGUAGGCUCGAGUUCUGAAGAGGGUGGUAGAAUUUCCUGUGUAGCGGUGAAAUGCGUAGAUAUAGGAAGGAAUACCGGUGGCGAAGGCGGCCACCUGGUCAGAGACUGACGCUGAGGUACGAAAGCGUGGGGAGCAAACAGG